UUGGGUGUGAUGACAGCUUUCCUCUUGAGGCUCCGCUGUGAUGUUUCAUGUAUUCAUACUGUCUGACCCGA